rnacentral:rRNA from 1 species
AGUGGGCGCAAGCCUGAUCCAGCCAUGCCGCGUGAGUGAUGAAGGCCCUAGGGUCGUAAAGCUCUUUCGCCAGGGAUGAUAAUGACAGUACCUGGUAAAGAAACCCCGGCUAACUCCGUGCCAGCAGCCGCGGUAAUACGGAGGGGGUUAGCGUUGUUCGGAAUUACUGGGCGUAAAGCGCGCGUAGGCGGAUUAGAAAGUUGGGGGUGAAAUCCCGGGGCUCAACCCCGGAACUGCCUCCAAAACUGCUAGUCUAGAGUUCGAGAGAGGUGAGUGGAAUUCCGAGUGUAGAGGUGAAAUUCGUAGAUAUUCGGAGGAACACCAGUGGCGAAGGCGGCUCACUGGCUCGAUACUGACGCUGAGGUGCGAAAGUGUGGGGAGCAAACAGGAUU